CGAGAAAAUCAAACGCAACAAGUCUCUUCCCAGUUGUAAUAAAAAAAAGAUGAAAGGUGUAAAAAAGUGACACUCUAUGAUGAGCCGGCAGAGAGACAAAACGUCUGGAAUGAUUUGAUUUGACAAUUCGUGUGUCCAAUAAUUGCACUUUUGAUGUGAAAGUGCUGAGAAAAAAACGGGUCUUCCCUGUGUGCCGA
ensembl:ncRNA T03G11.13 ncRNA